GACGAACGCUGGCGGCGUGCUUAACACAUGCAAGUCGAACGGAAAGGCCCUGCUUUUGUGGGGUGCUCGAGUGGCGAACGGGUGAGUAACACGUGAGUAACCUGCCCUUGACUUUGGGAUAACUUCAGGAAACUGGGGCUAAUACCGGAUAGGAGCUCCUGCUGCAUGGUGGGGGUUGGAAGGUUUCGGCGGUUGGGGAUGGACUCGCGGCUUAUCAGCUUGUUGGUGGGGUAGUGGCUUACCAAGGCUUUGACGGGUAGCCGGCCUGAGAGGGUGACCGGCCACAUUGAGACUGAGAUACGGCCCAGACUCCUACGGGAGGCAGCAGUGGGGAAUAUUGCACAAUGGGCGGAAGCCUGAUGCAGCAACGCCGCGUGCGGGAUGACGGCCUUCGGGUUGUAAACCGCUUUCGCCUGUGACGAAGCGUGAGUGACGGUAAUGGGUAAAGAAGCACCGGCUAACUACGUG
rnacentral:rRNA from 1 species